CUUGAGAAUAAUACAAAUACACUUCUCAAUAUAUGAAUGCAAUCACACAGAUAAUAAGACAAAACAAGCAAGACACUAUAGUUAAUUUGAGGAUAGCAAAAAUAAAGUAAAAUAAAGAGCUCUUUAAGAUAACAAUUGCAUGUCAAUACUUCUGACAGUAAAGAGUGCAUGUGUUAGAUAAAAUGAGUUUGGUCCCCAGUUAGAUGGUGACGUGUGACGCCUGUUAGACUGAAUCACCUCUUCUUACAUCACAGACACAUUAACAUUAUAUGUUAAGUUAAAAAACAACAUUAUAUGUUAAUUUAAGAAACAAUAUUAUAUGUUAACUUGCUGCAUUGAAAAAUUUCAGUUGAGUUCAGUAAAACACCUUUUAACUAUGCCACUUUAGCUGUUUAACACUGACAUUUUUCAGAGGCUCCAUUUUU